GGAUUACUUGGAAAGUUUCAAAAAUUUCCUAGUGAACAUUCAAUUGAUGGCCGACAGAGAAAUCCAUGAUGUGUAUAACCUCUGGAAGUUACAGGACCAAUUUAAAUAUAUGAGUUCGGUAUAUGUAAUGUUCGAUAUAAAACAAAAAGAACUGGAUGCAAGAAUUCUGUGUCAAGUUAUAAAUUUCAAAAGUCACCUUUUAUAUAAGUUUUCUGAUUCUAUAAACGUACCUUCUUCAACAUCUUAUAAAAAUGAAUGCAACAACUUGGCACACGGGCAUGACCGAAGAUGAAUGCUUCCUUAUGUAGUAUAACUACAUUAAAAAGUCUAGCAUGGAUUUCUUAGAAAGUUUCAAAAAUUUCCUAGUGAAUAUGCAAUUGAUUGCCGAUAGAGAAAUCCAUGAUGUGUAUAACCUCCCGAAAUUACAGGACCAAUUUAAAUAUAUGAGUUCGAUAUA